rnacentral:rRNA from 1 species
UACGUAGGGGGCAAGCGUUGUCCGGAAUCAUUGGGCGUAAAGCGCGCGUAGGCGGCCCGGUAAGUCCGCUCUGAAAGUCCAGGGCUCAACCCUGGAAAGCGGGUGGAUACUGCCGGGCUAGAAUCCGGAAGAGGCGAGUGGAAUUCCUGGUGUAGCGGUGGAAUGCGCAGAUAUCAGGAAGAACACCCGUGGCGAAGGCGGCUCUCUGGGACGGUACUGACGCUGAGACGCGAAAGCGUGGGGAGCGAACAGG